CAGAUCAUACCCGAGUUCCUGCUGCUGAAAUGUGUAGCACUGAAGCCCCAACGCCCGUGCAGGCACCUGUGUGCUCCAUUGUGAACGAAGGCCCAGCAGCUCCAGCUGCUUGCUCCAUUGUGAACGAAGCCCCAGCUCCCUGGGCCUGACCUGUGCCAAAUGGCAAGCUGCUUGUCACCUGAACAAAGGGAGAAAAGGAAGAGGGAUGGAGAUGAUGAUGCCAUGGAUGUCUCAGAAAAUGGAAAUGGCGAGAGUUCUUCAUGCAGCAAGAAACCAAUAAGAACUGAACUUAGUUUUCUACCAUAUAGCUUCGUCAUUUCCCCAUAUGAAAUGGUCCCAUAAUCUAAGAGGCGCUGGAAGAGCACUCCCCAUGCUUGUCUUGAAAAGAACACCACCCGGGACUUGGUGACUGACAUUGAGAAGGCAACAUGGUGGAUCGAGGGAAGCCGACCUUCACCCCCAAGAAGGGCAAGCCCAGCGUCGUCAUGUUCGUCGGAUUGCAGGGCCAGUCUCACUCACCAACCAACCUCGCCUUCUUGCUCUGUUUAUUGUGCUACACCUCUUACUGAAUUCCAGUCGCUAUAUAUGAUUUCUUACCUGUAUAUAUGUACCACUCUGUGUGUAGCAUUUUUCUAACGGUACAAUAGCACUCACUCAUCUACUGUCAAAUUGCCUGUGUGUAGUUCAUUAUCAUGCUAUCCAGGGGAUAUUCAUUUAUGUGCCUGUGAAUUCGUUCUUGGUGUGUAUGUAUGUAUAUGUGCUAGCAACAUGAGUAGGAAUUAGCAUCAUGCUCGGCCUGGAUGAAUUGCAUGCAUACAUUGAUCUAGUGAGAAGUGUAUGGCUGAUACAAUGCUCUUUUUCACAAAGCUAUUAUACACUUUGGGAAAUACAGUAAUUUGUUCUUUACUAAAUGCACUGCAAGUAUGGAUGAUGAUGCAUGCAUGCAUCUAGGGUGAGUCGUACCUAGUUGUUCUUUAUGUGGUUUGCUACUGCUAACCUUGCCUCGCUUUUGCUACUGCUAGCUCUAUGGAUGUUUAUUUACCUGCAACUUCUGCUAGCUCUAACUUGGUUAUAUAGCAGUUCAAUUCAUUCAAUCUGUUGGAACUAGUUUGUCUAUCACUUGUAUCCAAAUUUUAUAUCCUACCCUAUGCCAUUGUCGACUUGCUUAGGUACAUAAUUGUUAUGUCUUGCAAUCUGGUAUUGAUGAUUGUCAAUGUAUUCAUUUAUACCUUUCUAGUGUACCUUGCAUGUGACCCAGCUAGUCUGUAUAUCAAUGCUUUGUUUCCAAUAGAUGUAUGCUGAUGCCUGAUGGCUGAUUCCUUAAAACUUUACUGUUGCAGUAGCAUUUUUCCUUAGUGCUUCAAACCUUGCUCUCUUUCCCAGGAACCAUCAUCGUCUGCGUCACUACUGGGGCAGGAGAGGAAAGACUGUUGUUGUCUCCAGGAAGCGAUAAACUGCUUCACAAAGAUCCCCGCAUAGCUUCACUACUACUGUGUUGGUCCAUUUCCAGAAUCUAUAGGAUGAUGCUUUUGCUUAAGGAGAGGCUCAAGAAGAUCAGGGAGCUUCGCAUCCGUGUUUCAGCCAUCCUCUACAGCAAGGAGCUCUGGUCCAAAGGAGCAACCAGCGCUGCUAGUUCCUUGAGGCCAGAUCGAGUAAGAUGGCGCACCAUGGCGUGUGGUGGCAUAUUUUGCUUCCGAGAACAGUACUGUUUAUUUGAAGUGAGAUGUACUAGUCUAUGUUGUCGUGAGCUGUAGUAGGAGUGAAAUGAAAAUGUAUCUGUUGUUGUAUGUACAUUUUACUUGAACAUUAAAUUCUCUAGAAAAAAUGUUCUUACUGGACC